CAUAUUUAUCCUGAUACCAGAUUCGAAUUGACGCAACUCUAACAAAGUCCAUAACGUGAAAUAAAUAAAAAAUCCCAUGGUUAAUGCUGUAGAGAUUGUUAUAAGGGAGUGUGAAAGUAUUGAAACAUGUACCUUUCAGAGUUUUAUUGUUGUUAUUAUAGUUUACAGAGUGCUGCUGUUGCUAGCUAGCAUGCCUUUCUGUGAUGCAGACGGUUAGCUGAGCUGCCGACUGGUGCCUGCGUUGCAUUAUGGGAGAUGUAGUUUGGUCAUCUAUGGUCUGAAUGGAAUAGAGGCGAUUUCACGUUGUAACUUGUUUAUGUUGCAGUGUUUUUGUACAUGAGUUGUUGUAUUUUGGUUCUGUCAACACUGAAAGCACCCAGCAAUGUAUUGGGGAUGUGAGACAGGAUAUGUGUUUUACCUUUCUUCAUGCUCCUGUGUAGAACAACUUGUCAGAUGGUGCAUUGGAGACUGAUGUGUUCCUGUCCUGUCUUUUCACAAUACAGAUCAACAUAAAAGCCUAAAAGACAGCCGUGGUGUCGCUCUUCAUUUCUUGGUUCUCCUGUGGUGCAUAAGAACGUGGUGUCGCUCUUCAUUUCUUGGUUCUCCUGUGGUACAUAAGAACGUGGUGUCGCUCUAAAUUUCUUGGUUCUCCUGUGGUACAUAAGAAACCCGCUACACAACAAUAGAAAAAAAUUGUGCAACAAUGCCCAAAUUUGGGAAAACAAACAUCUUUAUCGUGGGAAAGGAAAUUCCAUUGAGAGGCAAGGCUCUGAGGCAAAAGAGGCACAUUGUCCCUCAGUGCUGCACCUCCGUCUCGGAACCUUCUCAAGCCCAAAGGUAGGACCAAUGUCCAGCUCCAAAUAAUACCCAGACUACCAAUGCUCAAAGGAGGAAAGGGGAAACAGUGGCUGCAUGGAGAGAGAUGAGGGAGCAGUUGCACAACAUCCGUGUGGAGAACAUGCCACCCCCAGUAAAAUCCAUCUGUGCCAUGUGUGGGAUCGAGCCAGAGAUCAUUUGGCGGUGCACUGACUGUGGGGCUGAGACAAGAGUUCGCUGUGACUGUGUGGUGGCCACCCAUAAAGACAAAAAGAUUGUGCGCUGCCUGAAGAUCUGGCAGAGCUCUGCCAGUGUGAGCCGGAAGCAGUGUCAUUGGUCAGGUACAUGCUCUGGCCUUGCACACCACGCCAGCCUCAGACUGCAGUGGUCUGCUCACUGCUCACUACUGCUCACAGAUAACCAGCCUGCAGCUUGAGAGUGGUGUUUCACUCAGAGCCAUAUGCCUGUCAUAAAAUGUUCCUCAUAGGGAAGAACUUGUAUACUGCCCUGUCGGAACUUGUUGCCGUCGUCUGGCCCCAGAAACUGCCAAUGGAACCCAGUGCCCGCUCUGUCCCAAGGGUUGCCAUGGAUUUCAAGUGCGCAACGCCAUCAGGUCCAAACCCAAAACAGCGAAAUUGGACGAGACAGGUGUGUUGGUGGUUUCCUAAAAGUAUGAGCACCCACUUCACUUCCUGAACAUGAAAAAAUGUGAAAGUGUACCUGCUGCGAGAGAUGGAGGGGAUGAGAGGCGCAUUGGGAAGGCCACCAAAGAAAUGAGGCCGCCCCAUCGUAUUGACCUCCUGACUGAUGUACUUCUCCACCAUGGAAAAAAGAAAUGAGGCCACCCCAUCGUAUUGACCUCCUGACUGAUGUACUUCUCCACCAUGGGAAAAAGAAAUGAGGCCGUCCCAUCGUAUUGACCUCCUGACUGAUGCACUUCUCCACCAUGGGAAAAAGAUACGCCAGAGGCCACUGGACUUCCUGCCACAGAGGUUUUUCCCAAGCAACAGAAGUUGCAAAAGAGGCAGAAAGGGAAAUGGCAUUACAUAGUCUCUUCCAGGUAACCCAUUGUAUCAAUAAUCUAAGCACAGAAUUUCAGUACUAAUUAGAAAUGUUGUCACAUCUGUCGCUGUUGUUAUGUUUUAGGAACAACACUGGACACCAUUAGGGAUUGGGGCAGGAAUGUCAGUGUCACCCUUGAUAGGCAAAAACCUUCUCUGCUGGGAGGAGCAAUAUGUUGCUCCAGCAACAUACACUUGCAAUGUAUGUAAAUCAUUUAAAAAUGACUAAACAAAGUUGUUAUUUUUCAGGUACACUUCCAAUUGACUCAAAUGAUGUC